rnacentral:rRNA from 1 species
AUUAAGAUAGCUUGCUAUUUUUAUGAAGAGCGGCGAACGGGUGAGUAACGCGUGGGAAAUCUGCCGAGUAGCGGGGGACAACGUUUGGAAACGAACGCUAAUACCGCAUAACAAUGAGAAUCGCAUGAUUCUUAUUUAAAAGAAGCAAUUGCUUCACUACUUGAUGAUCCCGCGUUGUAUUAGCUAGUUGGUAGUGUAAAGGACUACCAAGGCGAUGAUACAUAGCCGACCUGAGAGGGUGAUCGGCCACACUGGGACUGAGACACGGCCCAGACUCCUACGGGAGGCAGCAGUAGGGAAUCUUCGGCAAUGGGGGCAACCCUGACCGAGCAACGCCGCGUGAGUGAAGAAGGUUUUCGGAUCGUAAAACUCUGUUGUUAGAGAAGAACGUUAAGUAGAGUGGAAAAUUACUUAAGUGACGGUAUCUAACCAGAAAGGGACGGCUAACUACGUGCCAGCAGCCGCGGUAAUACGUAGGUCCCAAGCGUUGUCCGGAUUUAUUGGGCGUAAAGCGAGCGCAGGUGGUUUCUUAAGUCUGAUGUAAAAGGCAGUGGCUCAACCAUUGUGUGCAUUGGAAACUGGGAGACUUGAGUGCAGGAGAGGAGAGUGGAAUUCCAUGUGUUAG